rnacentral:sRNA from 1 species
UGCCUAGCUAUCCAGGCAGAGCAGUUACCCUCAGCUCUAGCUGAUACUACAGAUAGCACAACAGAUCAAGAAGCAUGGCAGUGACAACUCGUUUGACAUGGUUGCAUGAAAAGAUCCUGCAAAAUCAUCUUGGAGGAAAGCGGCUUAGCCUUCUCUAUAAGGGUAGUGCCCAUGGAUUCUGUAAUGGAGUUUUGCUUGACAGAUGUUGUAAUCAAGGGCCUACUCUAACAGUGAUUUAUAGUGAAGAUCAUAUUAUUGGAGCAUAUGCAGAAGAGAGUUACCAGGAAAGAAAGUAUGCUUCCGUCAUCCUUUUUGCACUUCAAGAGACUAAAAUUUCAGAAUGGAAACUAGGACUAUAUACACCAGAAACACUGUUUUGUUAUGGUGUUACAAAAUAUAACUCCCCAGCUAAUUUCCAGAUAGAUGUAAGAAAUAGAAAAGUGAUUACGGACUUAAAGACAAUGGAAAAUCUUGGACUUGCUCACAAGUAUACUAUCUCUAUUCAGGAUUGUGAAGUUUUUCGAUGCGAAGACUCACUGGACGAAAGAAAGAUAAAAGGGGUAAUUGAGCUCAGGAAGAGCUUACUGUCUGCCUUGAGAACUUAUGAACCAUAUGGAUCCCUGGUUCAACAAAUACGAAUUCUGCUGCUGGGUCCAAUUGGAGCUGGGAAGUCCAGCUUUUUCAACUCAGUGAGGUCUAUUUUCCAAGGGCAUGUAACGCAUCAGGCUUUGGUGGGCACUAAUACAACUGGGAUAUCUGAGAAGGUAAGCACAUUUGAGGCCACCUAGCCUUUGCUUCUCUGUUCAAAUCAAUUAUAUUUCAAAAGCCUUUUGCAGAUCAACUUUAUUACAUAUAGACUUCAUCUCAAUUUAUAAUAAAAAAUGAAACUUUAAAAUUGCUUUUCUCCCCUCUACAGUAUAGGACAUACUCUAUUAGAGACGGGAAAAAUGGCAAAUACCUGCCAUUUAUUCUGUGUGACUCACUAGGGCUGAGUGAGAAAGAAGGCGGCCUGUGCAGGGAUGACAUACUCUACAUCUUGAAUGGUAACAUUCGUGAUAGAUACCAG